CCCUGAGAAGAGGGGAGGAUGUGUGAGCCCUGAGAAGAGGGGAGGAUGUGUGAGCCCUGAGAAGAGGGGAGGAUGUGUGAGCCCUGAGAAGAGGGGAGAGGGUUCUGGUCUCUAAGGCUAACUCAUAAGGCACAUAAAUAGACACGGCUUCUCUCUACAUAAGCUGAGGAGUGGCUAUGCUCCCAGUUUAGAGGCUACAUGCCCUUUUCAGAGGAGAUGCGUGCUGGAAAUUUGCACAUGACUGCAAGACAAAGGUUUUUUUGUGUUUGAACGUAAUUUCUCGUUACAUGGACAAUUUCUGUUAUGUUAUCUGUCUGCAUAUGUCUUCAUUCAGGAUCUGUCUGGGUAGAACUUUGGAAAGAGGAGAACCCCACCCACAUAUGUUUGAACUCUGUUCAAUGCACAGUUUUCUUCUGCUUUAAGGAAUUUAAAGCAGUGGCCAACAUUUUGACAGUGGCUAAAUGCUGUGUUGUAUUGUUGUCAGAGGGCAGUGGGUCCUCUGGACUAGUAUCUUCAUGCUUAUUUUCAAGCAUUAUUAUUAUCAGAACAGCAGCAGCAGCAGAUUGGGGAAGUGCACUUUACUGUAAGACUAAGGUUACACAGGACAGGGUCGAUCAGUAGUUUGAGAAUGACAACGAGGAGGAUUAGGAGCUUAAAAGGUCAAGGUGGAGGUUGUCACAAUAUGGUGACGUGGCAUCCUCUUCACUUACUUACAUGUCUUUUGUAUAAAAGUGCUGCUAGAACGUUGCAGCGUCACUAUCACAUAUCUGACCCAGCUAGCUCAACUGGAGGAGGAAGAAUAAUAAUGUUCUGAGUUACCAGCUGGGAGACAAGUUAAAGGUGGGAGAGAGUCCUCUUCUCUCAUGAGUUCUGUUUACUGUGACAUUAUCAUGUUUUACAUUUUUGUUUUGUUUCUUGAACAUUGAGAUGUGAAAUGUCUUUGUUGUCCAUGAUCACUGCAAAGCAAUGCCACUGGGGGUUGUGUGUGUCAGAGGAAAUGCCUAACUGAUGUGGGUAAUAAUUCUAGGCUACAGUGGCCUGGCUCUCCAGUGUGGCAUCAUCAUAUUCACAGUGGACUACAUCGCUUCUCAAAGGGUCUAGUCACAGUUAUGCUAUAUAGGCCUAGCUAGAGCCAUAUAUUUAGAGUUAGGCAAACUUUUAGAAUAUUGAAUAUUGUUCUAAUACUAGACAGUCAUGCAAAUACAUUAUAAUGCAGAAACCUCGUUGGCCCAACUCUCUAAGUACAUGGCUCUGGGCUAGCUGCCUCUUCUGUAUCAGUGUAUAUGCAGUGCAGUACUGUCCAUGCUCUGUAUGCCAACAAAGUGAGGAGUCUUCUGUCAUCUACCUACCACUUUAAUGUUACUGGUAGUCCAUAAGCAUUUCUACAACAAUGAAACUCCCGUCCAAGAGGGGUCAACAUGACUAUUUCACGGUCUGGUUAAGAAAUCGAAGCUGCCUUUACUUUGUUAAUAUGAACUGUUUAUAAUGGGAGAAUAGCUUCAAGACGUGCACUUAUUUCCUUUUUAGACAAUUCUGAAACCCUACCCUAUUCCUUUGUUUUUAAUUGUAAUGUUUUAAAACUAGACUGGCUGAAACUCCUACUUUUAUUGUUUUUUCAGUUUCUGCCACUGAGUUUACAAGUGACCUUGUUUCCCUUGCACACUUGCUUCAGUGAAGCUUCCAUUUAACAGAAAGAAUAGCAGAGCACCGUUUAGUGUAAAGGGAAUAGGUUAUUCAUAUUUUAGUCUGAGAAAUAUUUGUCCAUCCAUUCAAUAUCAACUCCUCUGUCAAACUAUUGAGAACCACUUGUAUUAUUAUUUUUUGGACACAUCACACUUCGUUCAAUGUCACUUCUGUCCACGCUGUAUCACCCCACAGCCCACUCAUGACUCACUCUGAUGAUGAUGACAUAGUGGCACUGGCUCCCUGACUGAGGCAUGACAGUGCUGGACUGGAGAGGGGAGUGCUGGCCAAUCACAGAACGCCUCUGGUAAAACAUGGCAACAGGUUGACUGGUGGCACAAUAAAUAAAAUAAAUCUGAUCUUGUCCAGUCUUGCUUUUUUGGGGUAUUUCAUUUUUGACUAGUUUAU
ensembl:lncRNA